rnacentral:tRNA from 1 species
GUUCUUGUAGUUAAACGCUUAUAACGACGGUUUUUCAGGCCGUAGAUCCUGGGUAGGAGCCAGGUAGGAACU